UACGUAGGGUGCGAGCGUUGUCCGGAAUUACUGGGCGUAAAGGGCUCGUAGGCGGCCAACUAAGUCGGACGUGAAAUCCCUCAGCUUAACUGGGGAACUGCGUCCGAUACUGGAUGGCUUGGAUUUGGGAGAGGGAUGCGGAAUUCCAGGUGUAGCGGUGAAAUGCGUAGAUAUCUGGAGGAACACCGGUGGCGAAGGCGGCAUCCUGGACCAAUAUUGACGCUGAGGAGCGAAAGCUAGGGGAGCAAACGGG
rnacentral:rRNA from 1 species